GACGAACGCUGGCGGCGUGCCUAAUACAUGCAAGUAGAACGCUGAAGGAGGAGCUUGCUCUUCUGGAUGAGUUGCGAACGGGUGAGUAACGCGUAGGUAACCUGCCUGGUAGCGGGGGAUAACUAUUGGAAACGAUAGCUAAUACCGCAUAAGAGUAGAUGUUGCAUGACAUUUGCUUAAAAGGUGCAGUUGCAUCACUACCAGAUGGACCUGCGUUGUAUUAGCUAGUUGGUGGGGUAACGGCUCACCAAGGCGACGAUACAUAGCCGACCUGAGAGGGUGAUCGGCCACACUGGGACUGAGACACGGCCCAGACUCCUACGGGAGGCAGCAGUAGGGAAUCUUCGGCAAUGGACGGAAGUCUGACCGAGCAACGCCGCGUGAGUGAAGAAGGUUUUCGGAUCGUAAAGCUCUGUUGUAAGAGAAGAACGAGUGUGAGAGUGGAAAGUUCACACUGUGACGGUAUCUUACCAGAAAGGGACGGCUAACUACGUG
rnacentral:rRNA from 1 species